rnacentral:rRNA from 1 species
CACGUAGGGUGCGAGCGUUGUCCGGAAUUAUUGGGCGUAAAGAGCUCGUAGGCGGUGUGUCGCGUCGGCCGUGAAAACCUGGGGCUUAACUCUGGGCUUGCGGUCGAUACGGGCAUCACUGGAGUUCGGCAGGGGAGACUGGAAUUCCUGGUGUAGCGGUGAAAUGCGCAGAUAUCAGGAAGAACACCCGUGGCGAAGGCGGUUCUCUGGGACGGUACUGACGCUGAGACGCGAAAGCGUGGGGAGCGAACAGG